rnacentral:ncRNA from 1 species
CAAGCGGUUACCGAAAAGCUUAAAUAGAGUAGGUG